GCUGGUUGUCAUAGGCUCCAAAGAGCUCCAGGCAGAAACGCCACCCAAGAAUUGCAGGGGGACCCCUCUUCCGGAAACCUGUUUUUUUGGCCAAUUUACAAAAGAUUGAUUGGUAUCAGUGCCUUACAUUGAUCUGUGUUCCAACCUUGGCGGUGCGUUUUGUUUUGUUUUUCUGAAUUGUCUGCAAGUUAUUUGUUCAAACCGUGAAACCAGACUACUCAAAACCCUCUGCCAGACCUUCAACCCAUCAACAGUGGUUCAAAGGAAUUCCCCAGUCUUGCUGCACUCCCAGAAGAAAUCUCCCUCAAACUGUUUGGCAAUGCCUGGUCAGUCACAGGAAGAACCACUCUUGUGCACGCUCACAGUCACGAUUUUCCAGGAGAAGAGCAACACAUGUCCACUGUGGAAACAUUAGAAAACAGAUAACCCAAGGGAAAAAAGAGAAGCCUUGUCACCACACCAUGCCCCAGGGAACUCAUAAAACAAAGGGCAUGUUCCGGAGGUGCAGUCUCCCCUCCAAGUGAUCUAAACCAGCUUUGACUUUUCCAGCAGGAAGUUGGACUGGAAUAUUUCACAUUUAGCCCCCCUAUAUUUGUGAAGUUCCUGAAUGGAUCUAUUCUUCGACUAGCCUUUCCAAGGGUCUUUAUUAAGUUGUGAACUUUAUAACCAUUUAAGGAAAUUUAUGGAAAGGGACAGA